UAGAGAGAGAGAAGGUUAGAGAGAGAUGGGUUAGAGAGACAGACAGGUUAGAGAGAGACAGACGGGUUAGAGAGAGAGAAGGUUAGAGAGAGAUGGGUUAGAGAGACAGACAGGUUAGAGAGAGAGAAGGUUAGAGAGAGAUGGGUUAGAGAGACAGACAGGUUAGAGAGAGACAGACGGGUUAGAGAGAGAGAAGGUUAGAGAGAGACAGACAGGUUAGAGAGAGAGAAGGUUAGAGAGAGAUGGGUUAGAGAGACAGACAGGUUAGAGAGAGACAGACGGGUUAGAGAGAGAGAAGGUUAGAGAGAGACAGACAGGUUAGAGAGAGAGAAGGUUAGAGAGAGACAGACAGGUUAGAGAGAGAGAAGGUUAGAGAGAGAUGGGUUAGAGAGACAGACAGGUUAGAGAGAGACAGACGGGUUAGAGAGAGAGAAGGUUAGAGAGAGAGAAGGUUAGAGAGAGACAGACAGGUUAGAGAGAGAGAAGGUUAGAGAGAGACAGACAGGUUAGAGAGAGACAGACGGGUUAGAGAGAGAGAAGGUUAGAGAGAGACAGACAGGUUAGAGAGAGAGAAGGUUAGAGAGAGACAGACAGGUUAGAGAGAGACAGACGGGUUAGAGAGAGAGAAGGUUAGAGAGAGACAGACAGGUUAGAGAGAGAGAAGGUUAGAGAGAGACAGACAGGUUAGAGAGAGACAGACGGGUUAGAGAGAGAGAAGGUUAGAGAGAGACAGACGGGUUAGAGAGAGAGAAGGUUAGAGAGAGAUGGGUUAGAGAGACAGACAGGUUAGAGAGAGACAGACGGGUUAGAGAGAGAGAAGGUUAGAGAGAGACAGACAGGUUAGAGAGAGAGAAGGUUAGAGAGAGAUGGGUUAGAGAGACAGACAGGUUAGAGAGAGACAGACCGGUUAGAGAGAGAGAAGGUUAGAGAGAGACAGACAGGUUAGAGAGAGAGAAGGUUAGAGAGAGACAGACAGGUUAGAGAGAGAGAAGGUUAGAGAGAGAUGGGUUAGAGAGACAGACAGGUUAGAGAGAGACAGACGGGUUAGAGAGAGAGAAGGUUAGAGAGAGACAGACAGGUUAGAGAGAGAGAAGGUUAGAGAGAGACAGACAGGUUAGAGAGAGACAGACAGGUUAGAGAGAGACAGACCGGUUAGAGACAGACCGGUUAGAGAGACAGACAGGUUAGAGAGAGCGUAGUGUCUACAGAUACGGACCCGUACGCGUAGCCUGUGGCCUACGGAUACGGCACUUUCCAUUUCCCAGAUUGCUUCUUUAAUUCUCGCUGCCUGAAAUACCCCAGUGCCCCCUAUCGUGUGGCCAUUUUCAUGGCAAAAAGGACUUCGAUGUCGAUAUGAACUGGCUUGGCCUCUAUAUACAUGUGUCUCUACUGCAUUCACUAUAGUUACACCCACUGUCUUUGGCCAGUUAUUUAAAAAGUAAUAAAGAUGAAUGAGAUCGCCACGGUGUAGAAAGGUUUAUAACAGAGUAUAAGAUGUAUUUCAGCAGGUCCGUACUUCCAGUACAGAUGCUACGGGUACGGGUCCGUACCUCUAGCAUCAAUCUAGAGAGAGAUGGGUUAGAUCUGAUCCAGACUGAGGAGGACAGUCGCUUCUUCCCGAAGUUUCCAAAGAGCACAGAAUCUUUCUGGGCUCAGUUUUCCCUAAAAACACAUCAAACUGUCCACGUUCUGCUGUUAUAGCGUCCUUCAGCGUCUCACUGCUUUAAAUCAUCCACAGAUUUCUCCACAGAAACUCUUCACCUGCUCAACUUCCUCUUUAAAGUCUUUUCUUCUGUUUUGUCAGGAUCAUGGGACCCAUUAGCAACAGGUUAGCAACAUGUUAGCAACAUGCUAGCAACACAUUAACAAUCUGUUAGCAACACGUUAGCAUCCCUGCUGCUAGCAGCUAGCUAAACUCAAACAAUCACCAGCAGCCUUCAGUCCCAUCGUUUCCUCAGUAAAGCUGCUUCUCUGAACUCCUGGAUCUAAGGUCCUGAUCAGCGGUACCUGGCUGUGGUCGACCAAUCACAGUAGACUUUACAGGAGGGGGAGGAGCUACAACAGAGUGAUGCAGCAAUGGACAGUCUGAGGAAAUGAUGCGUUUCUGAACAUAAAGCAGGUAAACAACC